ensembl:lncRNA
GCUUUACACACAUCCAAAAAUAUCCAAGAAACCACUUCUGUGAAAUCAAAGUUAAUCAUUUUUUUUUUGUGUGUACAUUGAUCCAUCAUGCGAUUAAUCAAUUGAUGUAUCAAUCAAUAUUGAUGUAUUAUAACCCAUAUUUUUAGGCAUGUUAUUUAGUAUAGUUGUUAUGACUGCUUUUAUUGGUCUACAGUGCGAAGCAGAUUUAAUUUACAGACUGAAGCAGACUUGAAGAUAUAUGACGAGUCCCACACUGAAAUUGAUCAAGACAUUUUGGAAGAGUUGCUAGAAGCAAACCCAAAAUCAACAUUAAUCAUAAAAGAUCUUAGUGAAGAGGAAGCAGCCAGCUCCUGCACAGAUACACUGACAAGUCAUUCAUCUAGUGAACAAGAUGUGCCCUCUGAAAGAUGUGCCAAAAGGCUCAAAACAUCACAGCAAGAUGACAGAGUUGGAGCAGCAGAGGAGCAAAGAUCAGCAAAGGAGAUGGUGCUAGCUGCCUUAAAAGAAAAAUCAAAAGGAGAUGAAAUCCUUGAAGAGUACAAGGCCACCAAUACUUUGUCAAAUGAAAUGAGAAGGGCACUUUUAUGAUGCAGCAAGUGGAAGUGGUUAUCUUGCUUGGCGUUUAAAAACCGUUCAAAGAAACAACUCUCGUCACACUGAAAGAAAGAAUAAGCCUAGCUCUGAACAAGGAGGUCCAAACAUCAUGAGAGACAUUAGCUUAGAACAUCAGCUUGAGGGAGAUGCUCUUGUGGAGGCCAUUUCACUUCUUGCUCAUACAGGAGUUGAAGAAACCAUUUUUGAAAAGAUGAGACAGACAUUUCGCUAUCGCCAGGAACUUUCGGAAUGCCAGUUCACAAUGCAGAUACAGCAACAAAUAUUCUAAAAACCUUUCCAAGGGUUUUAGACACCAAAGGAUUGGUAAGUAAUAUUUAAAAUGAUUGAAUCUUGCUUUAAGUGCAUAUGAACGUGUCUAAUGCUGAUAAAUAUUUUCAAGGUGAACCAAGAUUUUGUUCUUCUGUUCGAUUUGAACACAUCCUCCAAGCUCUUGGAAAGGUGGGAUGGAACCUUUAAGCCAAAAAUCAUUCAAGAAGCAAGAAACUUGACUAAGACAUCUCCUGUGCAACCUCUCCUGAUGUCAGCUGAGAAAGCCCCUGAGAAUGCCACAGAUUCAAGUAGGAAAAAAUAGUCAAUAAAUCUGAUUAUAGUCAUGCUUUAGG